rfam:Ornithorhynchus anatinus chromosome 1, whole genome shotgun sequence.
CACCUCUCAGGGUCACACCUGGAGAGUUUCCAGCACUCUACCAGUCUCGACUAUGGGAGGGAGAGUCAAGCAGAGGCACAUCCAUUCUAUUCCUAGUUUGACCAGUGGCUAGCGAGUGGAAGGCAAUCUGCUACAAGU